CGGGGUGAGUAACGCGUAAGUAAUCAACCUGUGACACACGGAUAACUGAUGAAAUGUCAGCUAAUACGAGAUGAACUGUUUAAAUUGGGAAAUGGAAACAGCAAAGCGAAAGCGGUCACAGACGAGCUUGCGUCUGAUUAGCUAGUUGGUGGGGUAAGAGCCUACCAAGGCGACGAUCAGUAGCCGGCCUGAGAGGGUGAACGGCCACAUUGGAACUGAGACACGGUCCAA
rnacentral:rRNA from 1 species